rnacentral:sRNA from 1 species
AAACAUCUGCAAUUUACUUUUCUUUGACAGUUUUUACAAUCAUUGGUAAGAAAUUAUUCUAUUAAUCAAGAUAACAAUCAAGCAUCAAGCCACAAUGUCUCGAGUACUUUCUUUGAUAGUGGGAGCAUACAUAGGUGUAUAUGCUGCACAGAAUUUUGAGCUUCCACGUGCACCUGGCCCAAAUGAAUUAAUGGAGAAAUUCCAAGCCUGGCUCAAGCAGUUUGAAAGCAAAGACAGAUGAGAAAGAGUAACAUUAGCUGAUUGGAAAUAAAUAUUUGUUUGAUUUAGCAAUUCUAAAAUAUUUUUUUGGUUAUUUUAUAAGUAAAGUACCAAUUAAAAAUUGUUGUUUCACAACCCAUUCAGUCCUAUUUGGUUUAAAUGGAGGUAACACUUUAAAAAGGCUCAUUAUCAUAUCAAAGCAUUAGUAUCUAUACAUUUAUGAUGCAUCUGUCACAUUUCUGUUAAAAGACCUUUAAUUAUUUCUCAUAUUUUUAUAUUAAAAUAAGUCAAUUACUGUCAAAUUCUUUAUGAAACUCUUAUGGAUAUCUUAUCAAAUUUUUUUACUAACUUUAUUGAUUGAAGGCACAUUAUAUUAAUACUGAAAUCUCCAGUAUUGUUUUGAUUGAACCAUGUUGUGUUAUGGACUCUCAAGCUGUUUGUAUACUGAUUUCAAUUUUUUUUUUGUCAGAUGAUUUUUGUACAGUUUUAGAGUGUUAUAUUUUGUGGUGCGAAAGAAUGAAUAGCAGGUUUCAAAAUGAUGAAUUUGAUAUUAAACUUGCUAAAUACUGGUAUCAAUUAUUAUUGAAAUUUUUUUAUACAAGACUUCAUAUUAAUCUAUAUAUUUUAUACAUAGUACUUUCAACACCUAUGUUAAGGCUUACCAAAUGAGCCACUGUAAAAAUAAAGUUUGUUUAAACAAAAAAGUUUUUAUAUUUAUUUCUAUUCAUUAUAAGUACCAGUUUAUUAAAUUAUUUUAACAAAGUAAAAAAAAAGAAUGCUAUAUUAUGGUUAAACUUAAAUGCAGUCAUUUUUAUUUUACAAAUAAUAAAAAUCCAGGAUAUAUAUAUAUAUAUAACUGUAAACGGAUGUAACAAGAAAUGCUGAUGAACAGUAAACAUGUAUAAGCAAAAUUUGUAUGGAUUUUUGUGUGUGGUAAUAUCAUGAAAGUAUUAAAUAAACUUGUAAACAGUUUGUAAAUAAAAGAAGUUAUACUUUUAA